GACGAACGCUGGCGGCGUGCUUAACACAUGCAAGUCGAACGGAAAGGCCCUGCUUGCAGGGUACUCGAGUGGCGAACGGGUGAGUAACACGUGGGUGAUCUGCCCUGCACUUCGGGAUAAGCCUGGGAAACUGGGUCUAAUACCGGAUAGGAGCCCUUUUUCGUGUGAUGGUUGGAAAGUUUUUUUCGGUGUAGGAUGAGCUCGCGGCCUAUCAGCUUGUUGGUGGGGUAAUGGCCUACCAAGGCGGCGACGGGUAGCCGGCCUGAGAGGGUGGACGGCCACAAUGGGACUGAGAUACGGCCCAGACUCCUACGGGAGGCAGCAGUGGGGAAUAUUGGACAAUGGGGGCAAGGCGGAUGCAGCGACGCCGCGUGGGGGAUGACGGCCUUCGGGUUGGAAACUCCUUUCGCUAGGGACGAAGCUGUUUGUGACGGUACCUAGAUAAGAAGCACCGGCUAACUACGUG
rnacentral:rRNA from 1 species